GAUGAAGAACGCAGCGAAAUGCGAUACGUAGUGUGAACUGCAGAAUUCAGUGAAUCAUCGAAUCUUUGAACGCACAUUGCGCCCGCCAGUAUUCUGGCGGGCAUGCCUGUUCGAGCGUCAUUUCAACCAUCAAGCCCCCGGCUUGUGUUGGGGACCUGCGGCUGCCGCAGGCCCUGAAAACCAGUGGCGGGCUCGCUAGUCACUCCGAGCGUAGUAAUACAUCUCGCUCAGGGCGUGCUGCGGGUUCCGGCCGUUAAAAAAGCCUUAUUUACCCAAGGUUGACCUCGGAUCAGGUAGGAAGACCCGCUGAACUUAAGCAUAUCAAUAAGCGGAGGA
rnacentral:misc_RNA from 1 species